UACGUAGGGGGCUAGCGUUGUCCGGAAUCAUUGGGCGUAAAGCGCGUGUAGGCGGUCCGGUAAGUCCGCUGUGAAAGUCGGGGGCUCAACCCGGGAACUGCACUGAAUACUGCCUUGCUAGAGCACUGGAGAGGGAACUGGAAUUUACGGUGUAGCAGUGAAAUGCGUAGAUAUCUGGAGGAACACCGGUGGCGAAGGCGGCAUCCUGGACCGGCAUUGACGCUGAGGCGCGAAAGCCAGGGGAGCAAAGCGGG
rnacentral:rRNA from 1 species